UCAAGUUUUUAAGGGCGCACGGUGGAUGCCUUGGCACCAGGAACCGAAGAAGGACGUAGGAAUCUGCGAUAAGCCUCGGGGAGUCGAUAACCAGACUGUGAUCCGAGGAUUUCCGAAUGGGGAAACCCGGCUGGAGGCAAGUCCAGUCACUCCCGGCUGAAUAUAUAGGCCGGGUAGAGGGAACGCGGGGAAGUGAAACAUCUCAGUACCCGCAGGAAGAGAAAACAACAGUGAUUCCGUGAGUAGUGGCGAGCGAAAGCGGAUGAGGCCAAACCGAGUGUGUGUGAUAGCUGUCAGGCGUUGCAUGUUCGGGGUUGUGGGAGAUGGUGUCCCGGGACUGACAUUCCGGGCCGGAGUAAAAAAUCUGCGUCAUAGUCGAAGGGUCUUGAAUGGCCCGGCACAGAGGGUGGGACCCCCGUAGACGAAAUGGUGUGGACUUCGGAUCUGUUUUCCCAAGUAGCACGGGGCUCGAGAAAUCCCGUGUGAAUCUGGCGGGACCACCCGUUAAGCCUAAAUAUUCCCUGGUGACCGAUAGCGGACAAGUACCGUGAGGGAAAGGUGAAAAGUACCCCGGGAGGGGAGUGAAAUAGAUCCUGAAACCGUGCGCUUACAAUCCGUCGGAGCCUCCUUUGUGGGGUGACGGCGUGCCUUUUGAAGAAUGAGCCUGCGAGUUAGUGCUCAGUGGCAAGGUUAACCCGUGUGGGGAAGCCGUAGCGAAAGCGAGUCCGAACAGGGCGAUUGAGUCGCUGGGUCUAGACCCGAAGCGGAGUGAUCUACCCAUGGCCAGGUUGAAGCGACGGUAAGACGUCGUGGAGGACCGAACCCACUUAGGUUGAAAACUGAGGGGAUGAGCUGUGGGUAGGGGUGAAAGGCCAAUCAAACUCCGUGAUAGCUGGUUCUCCCCGAAAUGCAUUUAGGUGCAGCGUCACGUGUUUCUUACCGGAGGUAGAGCUACUGGAUAGCCGAUGGGCCUCACCAGGUUACUGACGUUAGCCAAACUCCGAAUGCCGGUAAGUGAGAGCGUGGCAGUGAGACUGCGGGGGAUAAGCUCCGUAGUCGAGAGGGAAACAGCCCAGAUCACCAGCUAAGGUCCCUAAGCGUGUGCUAAGUGGAAAAGGAUGUGGAGUUGCCGUGACAACCAGGAGGUUGGCUUAGAAGCAGCCACCCUUUAAAGAGUGCGUAAUAGCUCACUGGUCAAGUGAUUCCGCGCCGACAAUGUAGCGGGGCUCAAGCACACCACCGAAGCUGUGGCAUUGACACAUUGCCUGGCCCCUUGUGGGUCCAAGCGUGUUGAUGGGUAGGGGAGCGUCGUGUGGCGAGUGAAGCGGCGGAGUGAUCCAGUCGUGGAUGCCACACGAGUGAGAAUGCAGGCAUGAGUAGCGAAAGACGGGUGAGAAACCCGUCCGCCGAAUAUCCAAGGGUUCCAGGGUCAAGCUAAUCUGCCCUGGGUAAGUCGGGACCUAAGGCGAGGCCGACAGGCGUAGUCGAUGGACAUCCGGUUGAUAUUCCGGAACCGGCGAAGAACCGCCCCUGAUGAAUCCAGUGAUGCUAAACGUCUGAAGCUGGCCGCAGACACCUUCGGGUGUCACUGGCCAGUGGAACGCGUGACCCGAUCUGGUAGUAGUCAAGCGAUGGGGAGACGCAGGAAGGUAGCCUCCGCGUGGCGAUGGUUGUCCACGUCCAAGGGUGUAGGGAGUCAGGUAGGCAAAUCCGCCUGGCACAUAUUCUCAGACCUGAUAGUGACCGCCUAUGGCGGGAAGCAGGGUGAUCCUAUGCUGCCGAGAAAAUCCUCUAGCGAGGUUCUAGCCGCCCGUACCCCAAACCGACUCAGGUGGAUAAGUAGAGAAUACUAAGGCGAUCGAGUGAAUCGUGGUUAAGGAAUUCGGCAAAAUGCCCCCGUAACUUCGGGAGAAGGGGGGCCCGGAUUCUGAAGCCCCUUGCGGGCUAGGAAGAUGGGCCGCAGAGACCAGGGAGAAGCGACUGUUUACUAAAAACACAGGUCCGUGCGAAGUCGCAAGACGAUGUAUACGGACUGACGCCUGCCCGGUGCUGGAAGGUUAAGAGGACUGGUUAGCCCCUUGUGGGCGAAGCUGAGAAUUUAAGCCCCAGUAAACGGCGGUGGUAACUAUAACCAUCCUAAGGUAGCGAAAUUCCUUGUCGGGUAAGUUCCGACCUG
rnacentral:rRNA from 1 species